GGCAGCAGCCACACCUUUCCUUGCUGGAAAUUCACAUAAACUGGAUUUUUCUGGAAAUAUGGUCAGAACCUUAGAACUGUAUAAAUUUAUAUCUCCUGUACAUUUAGACCAACCUGUCUUUCCAGUCAUCUGCACUGAUCUUUCAAAGGUGUUAAAAAUGUCAUAUAAUUUUAAUAAUAGGCUUCCACAAUCCACUGUUUUACAGUCUUCCAUGUACACCCUGAUUUGGCUAGAACUUGUCCCUGGUUUUAGAGGUUUGCAACUAUUUCAGCAUCUGUUGGGUGUCUCUGCACUUUUCAUGAAGACAGGGAGAAUUUUAUCCAUCUCUCAUUAUUUUGUUCCGCCUGGAUCUGCCAGGGUUGAUUGUAAAAUGAAGAGUCCAUGCAGGACAGCUCUGGAUGAAAAAGUAAUACAGAGAAAAGUAAGAAAUAUCUCACCACAGUGAAUUCCCACUCCAGUUAGAUCUUUGAAGUUACUGGCAUGAACUCUCUCUCACACAACAUACCCCUAACUCGUAUAAGUGUGUCGUCUCUACUAAACAAUCCUUUAUAUUUAUUAUUAUUACUCAGUUCAAAGGCUGAUGCCAAGCUGUCUGAGGAAAGGAAAGUACAUGGUGUAUUUUUUAAAAAUCCUCACCUUCACUGGAGUUUUAUGUUCCUUGGGGUUUCUCUUUUCUUUCUUUUUUUUCUUUUUUUUUUUUUUAAGCUCUGUUCUAAGAAAAGGAAAGCAGGGGAUUUACUAAAGGCAAGGCAAGUCGGUUAGUUAUGAGUCACCUUCAUGACUUAUAAAGGGUCUCAAAUUGUUUGGAGAGGGCUUUCUUCACCUGACUUGUGCUGCAGGGAUAUCAGGCGACCAGCCAGACCAACAGACCUCUGUGGCAACUGCUUCUGCCUCAGUUGCUUUUUUCAUUUGCCUUAUUUCUCUCAGUCUCUCUCUCUCUCUCUCUCUCUCAAUCUCACUCUCCCGUUCUCUCACUUCAGAAGAAAAAAAAAAACACAACCCCAGCUCAGUGAUCAUGGUUAACCGGUGAGAUGGAACAAAGGGGAAGUCUGUGGCCUUCUUGCUGCAUUGGUUUUGCUUGCAUCUCUGUGUAAAGAAACUGCCUCAUAGCAGUGGUUACUGGGAGACAAAACAGAAAGCAAACUAAGAUUCAGCAACUUCUGAACACUGCCCAGGAGCGGAUACUUUAUUUUAGAACGAUGGAGAAAGGAAAAUAUAUUUCAAUCAAGACAUACUGAGCAAAGAACUAACUGGGCAUUACUUAGGCCUUUUUAAAACUGCUUGGAAUGACUGUCUCAACUAUUCCAGCCUUAUUACCAAUGUAUAUCAAGGGGAAAACCAGUGGUUUCAGUUCUUUAUGUCUCACACUCCAGUCUCUGGAGUUCUUCUACAGGCUAUAUGUUGUUAAUGCUAAUCGUGAUAGGGGUUUUUACCUCUGACUGACUCCUACAUAUUAGCAUUAACACUGUAUCAUGCCUCUUACCAGAAUUCACAUGGAACAAACUGCUGCUGUGGGAGGAUAACAGAAAUUGUGAAUCAGUCAGUGCUAUGCUGGGGAAACCUCUGUUCUACAUGUAAAAAGACGAGUUGUUCUGCAUACAGGCAUGCUUGCUAGAACGUUUGCUUGGUUUAGAGUCACUGGAAAAAGCAGGGGGGAAAGCAGCUUUUUGUAUCAAUAAGUCAUUACUAGGAUGUAGAAUGUGUAUCAUUUUGAGCACAACAACCUGUUUUUUAUUUUGUUUUAGUGCUUUUCAGGUCUUCUGGUUUUACUUCCUACACAAAUAUUUCAUUUCUUCAUUUUAUCUAGGAAAGAAAAAUGACAAAUUAAACUUUUGGCAUGUA